rnacentral:rRNA from 1 species
AACCCGACUCCGUGAAGCUGGAUUCGCUAGUAAUCGCGCAUCAGCCAUGGCGCGGUGAAUACGUUCCCGGGCCUUGUACACACCGCCUGUCAAGCCAUGGGAGCCGGGGGUGCUUGAAGUGCGUCGCCGCAAGGCGCGCCCUAGAGCAAAACCGGUGACUGGGGCUAAGUCGUAACAAGGUAGC